rnacentral:rRNA from 1 species
UACGUACCGGACGAACGUUAUUCGGAAUUACUGGGAUUAAAGAGUGCGUAGGCGGCGAGGUAGGUGAGGUGUGAAAUCCCACGGCCCAACCGUGGAAUUGCGCUUCAAACCGUCUUGCUUGAGGGAGACAGGGGUGAGCGGAACUGAUGGUGGAGCGGUGAAAUGCGUUGAUAUCAUCAGGAACACCGGUGGCGAAGGCGGCUCACUGGGUCUCUUCUGACGCUGAGGCACGAAAGCUAGGGGAGCAAACGGG